CGAGGUCACGUGUGGGGGCGGGGAGACCGCUAGCGCACCAGCCCCGCCCCGACGCGCAUGCUCGCUCGGCCUUCACAGCUCAGGCCAGUGGGGGCGCGAACGUCUUGACGCCAUGGCUGCUGCUGGGGACUUGAGGGCUUUGGGGCCGGCAGGCCAGGUCUUUCUUGCUUUGGGCAGAACACGGACCCUGUGUAGAAGGCGCUGUCGGGUAAAUACAGAUAGCAGUUCAUGGCAGUGUUGACAGAUGCAGAACUUCUGGAAGAGCUGCUACUCAGGGUUUCUGUUGAGAAAUCUGCUGUCAUUCUGAUGGAAGAUUCCUUAAAGGCGAUUUGGCAUUCCUCUUUUACAUAUUUUAAGGUAUCCUUUUUAUGUUUUACUUUUAAAGUUUGACUGUAAUGUGUCAUGGUGAAAAUCUUUUCUGAUCAUGCCUGUGGGUUCCAUGUGCUUUUCACAUUUGGAUGUUCAUAUCUUUCUCAAAAUUGGGGACAUUUUCUACUUUAUUUCACUAAAUAAGUUUUCUAAGCUUUUCUCUUUUCCAUAUCUUCAGGAACUCCUAAGACUCAUAAAUUUGGUCAUUUGACGAUAUCCUGUACAUCCUAAGACUGUUUUCAGUCCUUCUGUUUUGUCCUUAUUUUUUGCCUGAGAUAUUUCAAAAGACCUGUCUUCUAGAUGAGAUGAUCUUUUGCCUCACCAAGCCUGUUGUAACUUUUUAUUUGACUUAUUGAGUUUAUUUUUACUUGGCUUGUUGAAUACACAUAUAUUAUUUGACUUCUUGAAUGUUUCAUUUCUAAUAUUUUUGUCAGAUUUUUCUUUAAUACCUCUAUCUCUUUGCAGAAUUUCUCAUCCAUGUCAUGUAUGGAUUUCCUUAGUUCAUGUAACAGUUUCUCUGUGUGUGUGUGUGUUUUUUUUUUUUUUUUUUUGACAGGCGGAGUUAGACAGUGAGAGAGAGAAAGGUCUUCCUUCCAUUGGUUCACCCCCCAAAUGGUCGCUACAGCCGGCGUGCUGCACCAAUCGGAAGCCAGGAGCCAGGUGCCUCCUCCUAGUCUCCCAUGCGGGUGCAGGGCCCAAGGACCUGGGCCAUCCUCCACUGCACUCCCGGGCCACAGCAGAGAGCUGGACUGGAAGAGGAGCAACUGGGACAGAAUCCGGUGCCCCAACUGGGACCAGAACCCGGAGUACCGGUGCUGCAGGCAGAGGACCAGCCCAGUGAGCCGCGGCGCUGGCCUGUGUGUGUGUGUGUGUGUGUGUGUGUUUGACAGGCAGAGUGUACAGGGGGAGAGAGAGAAAGGGAGAAAGGUCUUCCUUUUGCCAUUGGUUCACCCUCCAGUGGCCGCCGCAACCAGUGCACUGCGGCCGGUGCACCUAGCUGAUCUGGCAGGAGCCAGGUGCUUAUCCUGGUCUCCCAUGGGGUGCAGGGCCCAAGCACUUGGGCCUUCCUCCACUGCCUUCCCGGGCCACAGCAAAGAGCUGGCCUGGAAGAGGGGCAACCGGGAAAGAAUCUGGCGCCCUGACCGGGACUAGAACCUGGUGUGCGGGCGCCACAAGGCGGAGGAUUAGCCUGUUGAGCCGCGGCGCUGGCCACAGUCCAAUAUUAAUGUAUUAUUAUAUUCCUUUUGGGGAGUCAUUUUGCCUUCCUUGUUCAUGUUAAUUUUUUUCCACAUUGGUUUGGGGUUUUUUUAAAAGAUUUAUAUUUUAUUUAUUUGAAAGGCAGAGUUACAGAGAGAAAGAAAAGGGACAGAGAGAGAGGUCUUCCAUCUGGUUCACUCUCCAAAUGGCUACCAUGGUCGAGGCUGUUCCUAAAACCAGGGACCUGGAGCUUCUUCCAGGUCUCCCACGUGGGUGCAGGGGCCCAAGCCCUUGGGCCAUCUCCUACUGCUUUCCUAGACCAUAGCAGAGAGCUGGAUUGGAAGUGGAGCAUCCAGGACUCAAACCAGCACCAAUAUGGGAUGCCGGCACUGUAGGCAGUAGCCUUACCUGCUACACCACAGCACUAACUCUUCUACAUGGUUUUUUAUGCAUCUGAGGGAAUCACUUGUCAUCCCUUGGGGAUGGAUUUUUUUUUUUUUAUUGUUAUUGAAGGUUUCAUUCUUUGACUUGUGCCUCUCUGGGUCAGUGGAGGGCCUGAGACUUGUACUGGAGUUCCAGAGGUGUGUGCUAGGUGAAACCAGGAAGCUCUGUCCACCAUUGGGAGUGGGGUAAGAGUCUAGAGUGACACCCAAGUUGGGCUGCUAUACCACCUCUGGCUUCAGUCAGCAGUAGGAGGGGAUCUUGGAACUAGUGUGUUCAAAAUCCCAGCCCUUCUGUGUGCCAAAAUGAACCGGCUUAUUUACAGCCUAGAGUGAACUCACGGUGCCCGUGCACCCCACCCACCCAGACACUCACACCAUACAGAACACGAGCCUACUUCGGGGUGUGUCCCCUGAGCCCUCUGUGAGAUCUGUCCGCAGUUGCAGGGAACUCAGUUUCUGCAGUCAGGCUGCACAGGUGCACAGCAACCCAGCCACAUCCUAGAGCCCGCUCAGCUCCGCGGCCUGUGCCCCGGACUCAGUCACAGGGACAAGAGGCCUGCUCUCCGCCCUGGGAGCUGCCUCGUACCCAGCGUGAGCUCCCUGCAGCUCCCGAAUCAGGACACAGAUCAGCCACAACUCCACCUCAGCAAAUCGAGACUGGCACUUUGGUGGGUGGAGGGGAGAGAAGAAGCAGCGUGGUCUCCCUUCACGGAGUAAAGUAGUUGCUCGGCACCCCCGCCAGUCCCCCCGGCCAGACUGAAAGCCAAGGCGGACCGGGGAAUUCUCCCUCAGUCAAAGCCACCAGUGGCGUGGGCUGCAGCAUCCUGUUCUCACCUCGCCUGAGCAGGUGGCGGUCCCAGCCAGGCACCUGCCGUGAAUGUGCAGGCGUCACUGGUGGCAUGCAGCCAAUGGAUGUGUGUUUGUCCUCUCCCUACUGUUCUGUGGAGCCUCUGCCCUGUUCUGUCACUCUUCACUGAGAACAUCUCUCAAUGAGUCCCCUGGGAACACGGUCUUGCCUUUGUGUUUCUGGUAUCCAUGGUGGCUGAGGUCAGUGUGGCUUCUCCCUAUUCAGCCACCGUGGAUCUCCCCAUUUUUGCUUAUACAGCACUCUCCCAAGACUUAUAUCCAGGACCUUGCAGGUUUGCAUGUGCUGUUGUUGACCAGAGCUUUAUUUGAGUCAGAGGGGCAUUGGUCAGGGCAGAAGGGAAAGUGGGCAUGGGGAGGACUCCCCGAUUCUCAGCUGAAUGUUCCUGCUUCAGCACGAAGCGGAGGUGGAGAACUCUGUGCCUCGCUAGAAAGGUUUCCAGAGCAGCCAGGCAGAGAGCCCCCGUCCUGUUAGGUCAGGGAGCACUGUGCUCCGAGCAGCACCUGGUUUACCUCGAUGGGCCUGCCCGAGUUCAGAACUGCAAGACCUGCACCCUGGGGAACUCCGUAGUUCCGCACAAAUCCAGAGGGUCAUUGUUGCUUGCAGUGCAGACAAGCUCGGCAUCGAUAGACAAGGCUUCAAACCUACAGAGAGAAAAGGCAAAAAUAGACCAACGGAACCAUGCAGACCAAAUCUUCUGCACAGCACAGGAAACCUGUCAGCAGAGUGAAGAGAUAACUUCCAUAAUGGGAGGAAAUGUCCGUAGACUGUCAUCCAGCCAGGGGUAAAUAUCCAGAACAUACAAGGACCUCGGGGCCGGCGGCAGUGCAUAGUAGGUUAAGCCACCACCUGCGGUGCCAGUAUCCUUUAUGGGUGCUGCUUCACAUCCCAGCUGCUCCUCUUCUGAUCAGGCUCUGUGCUAUGGCCUGGGAAAGCAGAAGAAGAUGGCCCAAGUCCUUGGGCCCCUGCACCCGCAUGGGAGACCCAGAGGAAGCUCCUGGCUCCUGGCUUCGGAUCAGCGCAGCUCCUGCUGUUGCAGCCAUUUGGAGAGUGAACCAAAGGGUAAGAGACCUCUCUGUUUCUCCCUCUCUCUUUAUGUAAUUUCUCCUCUCAAAUAGAUAAAUGAAUCUUUAAAAAAAAUAAAGUUAAAAAGGACCUCAAACAACUCAACAGCAAAAAAAAAUCUGAUUAAAAAUGGGUAGAUGAUCUACAUAGACAUUUCUCAUAUGAACAAGUAUAAAUGGCCAACAACUACAUUAAAAAAUGUCCAGCAUCACUAAUCAUCACAAAAUGCAAAUCCAAACCACAGUGAAGGCCAAGCAUUUGACUUUAGUAGUCUGGAUGCAGGUUCAUCCAUUCACGUCCCUGCGUUCAAGACUCGACCGGUUCCUGACUCCAGCUUCCCGCCAAUGCAGACCCUGGGGGGCAAUGGCUGUGUCUCUAAUGGUAGGGCUUUUGUCACUCACACGGGAGAGCUGGGUUGUGUUCCCACCACUUGGCUCCCAGCUUCAGCGUGGCUCAGUUCCCACUGUUGUAGGCAUUUGGGGGAUGAACCAAAUGAUGGGAUCUCUCAUUUUCUUUCUCUCUUCCCCCAAAAUAAAUAAAUAAGAACCCAUGAUGAGUUAUCAUCUCACACCAGUUAAAAUGUCUAUAAUUUAAAAAAAAUAAUAACAAAUUCUGGGGAGGAUGCAGAGAAAGAGAAAUUCUUACACACUGUUGGCUGGAAUGUAAAUUAGUACAGCCAUUAUGGAAAACAGAAUAGAACUUCUUCAAAAAGCUAAACAUAGAAAUACGACGUGACCCAGCGAUCCCACUGCUGGGUUUGGUUCCAAGAGAAAUGCAGUCAAUCUGUCAAAGAGGCGUCUGCACACUUCUGCUCACUGCAGCAGUGUUCUCAAGGCCAGGACAGGGAAUUAGCGUAUGUUUCUGUCAGUGGAUGAAUGGAUAAGAAAAAUAUGGAACGUGUACACAAGUGGAAUAUUAUUCAGUCAUAAAAAAGACUGCAGUCCUGUCAUCUGUGGCAGUAGAGAUGGAGCACUAUGCUAAUGGAGUAAGCCAGGCACAGGCAGACAAACGUAGCGUGUUCUCACUCAUACAUGGAAGCAGAAACUGUGGACCUCUUGGAAGCAGAGAGAAUAGUGCUUACCGGAGGCUGGGCGGGGUACCAGGGAAGGGGAUAGAGAACAGUUGGCUAAUGAGUACAAAUACAGUUUUAAGGAGGAUGACGUGCUAGUGUUUCAUAGCACAGUGGGGCAACUGUGGUUGGCAGCCAUUUAUUGCAUGUUUCAAAACAGCUAGAAGAAAGGAUUUUGAAUGUUCCCAAUACAAGGAAGUCAUACAUGUUUGAGAUGACGAUAUGUUAAUUACCCUGAUUUGAUCAGUACAUACUGUAUACAUGUAUCAAAAUAUCACACAGAACUCCAACAAGAUGUACAAUUAUUAUGUGUCAGUUUAAAAUAAGCCAACUUGGGACUAGCACUGUGGCCCUGCCACCCACAUGGGAGACCCAGAUGUUACUUCAGGCUCCUGCCUUUGGCCUGACCCAGCCUUUUGGGAGAGUGAAUCAGGGUUUGCAAGAUUCUCUCUCUGUCUCUCUGUUUCUCUCUCUCUCUCUCAAAUAAAAAUGAAAAUAAGUAAGUUUUUGAAAAAUUGUAGCAUGUCUUAAGAUUUACAUUUAACAAAGUAACCCACUUAAAACACUUCAAAUAUGCAAUUUAUUAUGUUCAUGCUAUUCGUAAAAUAAUUUCAGACUUUUAAGGACAUUAAAUUACACACCCCAUAAGUUAAAAAAUGUAAGGUGAGCAUCUUCUCCUUUCUGUUGGUCUAACUCUAUGACUGCAGGAAUGACCCUACAGAGCUGAGACAUCGAAAUUCUAAAUGUAAGGUUCCCCACUGAUGCAAGACCUGGCUGUGACAGGUCCAAAUGGGGUGGGCAGGGUGAGUGGUCAGCUCACCUUUAAACUGGCAAAAUGUAAGAGACUGGGGAGGGGGUUACCAAGAACAAGGCAUGCCUGCCCCAGGCUUACCCUACGGCGACACUGUAGGGAAUUUUUAAAGAAUAAUAAAACUGGCUGAGGGGGCUGGGGGUACUUCAUUCAUCGCCAAUUAUGAAGCUGCUCACCAGCAUCCCCUGUCAGAGUCGCUGAGUCCCGGCUGCUCUGCUUCCAAUCCAGCUUCCUGUUAACGCACCUGGGAAACCAGUGUCUGAUGGCCUGAGUCCUUGGGCCCCUGGCACCCACACAGGAGACCUGGAUAGAGUUCCUAGCUCUUGGCUUCCGCCUGGCCCAGCCCCAGCCGCUAUGGCCAUUUCGGGAGUGAACCAGCAGACUGGAAGAUUCCUCCCUUCUCUCCCUCUCACUCUGCCUCUCUUUCACGUAAAUGAAUAAAUCAUUAAAAAAAAAAAAAACUGCUUUGGAGAGCAGGAUGUCCAGCUUCCCAGUGCAGACCUCUGAAGUGCGAGCAACGAACAGCGAGUUAAAAAUGGGUGCUGUUGAGCAAGGCAGGAACGUUUUUGUCCAGAAGGGUGCCUGGUGCCACACUGUGGAAAGGGGGGCAAGCACAAGACUGGACCAAGUCUCCCUGGUCUGUUUGGGCGGAAGACAGGCAAGACAGUUGGCUUCCCCUGCACGGAUACCACCAAGAGCAAACGCAUCCCCUGGGGAGGAUUUGGAGAAUCCAAGAAAUACAUCCUGGAACCAAAAUGAUCCUCGCUGGCAUUAAGACAAGAAUGAAAGGGCAGGCUUGAUAGCUCAUCUCAGAAAUGAUACUAAUGAGUAAUGAUUGGCAACUGCCUCAUUUAUUACAAAACUGGAAUGCCUCAUGACUUUUUUAUGUGCACCAUAAUUAAAUUCUCAUGAAUGGCUGACAAAAUAUUUUUCUCCGACAGUCCUGAUUUAAAUAAAGUUGCCUCGUGUGGUUACAUAAAUAUGGUUGGGUUUACUGAAAGUUUGGUAGUAAUUCCAGUUCCGUAAUUGCCCUUACUGUUUUCCCCUUCCAAGGAUAUGAUUGGACUCAACUAAUAACGUUCAGCUCUUCGCAAAGAUUGUGAAUGCCAUCCCAAAACCUGCUGGGAGAUUGGUCUUUGAUCUGUUGCUUCAUUCCCCCAAACAACUGCAACGGCCGGCCAGAGCCGAACAGCUCUGAAGUCAGGAGCAGGAGUGGUCAGAGUUAAGACAGAGUCACUUGUGUCAGCCCUAACAAAACCAAUCAGUGCGGCCAGGAGGUUAUGAAGAAAGGGUUGUUAGAUGUAAUCACCUGAUACUAAUGAUCACAAAAGACUCCACCAGAACCACAUUACACAGAGGCCACCACAGCCUUAGGCCACAGCCUGCAGCACCAGCAUCCCAUAAGGGCACUGGUUUGAGUCCCUGCUGCUCCUCUUCUCAUCCAGCUCCCUGCUAAUGAGCCUAGGAAAGCAGUGGAAGAUGACCCAAGUGUUUGGGCCCCUUGCACCCAUGUGGAAGACUGGGAAGAAGCCCCUGGCCCCUGGCUUUGACCUGGUCCAGCCCAAGCCGUUGGUGACAAUUUGGAGAGUGAACCAGCGGAUGGAAAAUCUCUGUCUCUCUCUAACUCUGCCUUUCAAAUAAAUCAACAUUUACACACACACAAAAAUGAUACUUCUGCAAGGACACCUGCCCAUCAAUGGUCUGUCCAAUCUCAGACUAAUGCCUCCUUGCUUACUACUCAUUGUGGCUGAAGAUAAUUGUCUCAAAACAUUUGAUGCAACCCUCCUCUUCAUUUUUCCCUUUAAAACCUUUCCUUUGCCUCAACCUCCUUGAAUCUUCCUAUAGUUUACUAUAGCAUUGUAUAUUGGCACUGUGAUGCCAUGGUAAUUCCAUUGCCAUGCUCUGGCACUCCCAUAUGAAUGCCAUGAUUCUCCAGGGAGCCUCCCUCUCUCUGAUUCUUGUCUGCAUUAGGUUGACAACCCAGAGAAGCCCAGAGCAGGUGCAGAGGGAGCCCUUCGCCCUCGUUUCCCCAGCUUGCUGUUCUCUGCCCGGGUGAAUCUGCUGUCAGGUUGAGGCAGAGGCCCCCUGCUGACUUUAUUUGGGGUGCUCUGAAAAGGUUGCUUCAACAAGCCUGCAGGCAGCCGCCUCACGACUGUGGGCUCCGGUGAGUGCUCACGUCGAGGUUCUCUUGUGUUCUGAGUGGGAGUUCACGUCUUCCCUUGGCUUCUGAGGACACCUGGCAGAAUUCCGUUCUAACCAGUAAGGAAGCUGCCCCCCCUCUGCCUGCUUUGGCAGCACCCCUGGAGCUCUGGAGCGCACGGUGACAUCUUGUGGCCUCUUUCUCGUAACUGCUUUCCACGAUUCUUCAAUGACAGAGAGUUAAUCUGCACAGGCGUCUGGUCUCUGUCUAGCUCUCUGUUUUUUCCCUCUGCCUACUUUGAAUCUGCUUUUUUUUUUUCUAUACUAAGAUAAUUUGGUUUUGCAAGUUUGCUUGGAAGUUUGUUAUUUCAGCCAGUCCUGGCUGAAAUGUAAACAUUGAAAGAAGUUAACUCCUAAACUCAUUGGAGAUGGAAAAAAAAAAAAAAACUAAGCUGCUUUGAGAAUAAAUAAGCUGUUUUAAAUUUGUUGGUAAAAAUAUCUUCAACAUUUUAGCAUACAUUCUGCCUGGUUUGCUGGCCAGUCAGAGUUAUAUUUAUUUCUUUAAACAUCCAAGAUCAUGAGAGUGUAGGAGCCGACAUUGUGGCAUAGCGGGCUAAGUUACCACUUGUGGGGAGCAACUCGGACUAGACUAAGUUACUGGAAUUAAGACUUAUUCUAUGCAUCUGCUCUCCCACAAUAUGGCGCUGGGAGAGGAGGAAACAGCUUCUACGCAGCUGCCUCUUGCCAACUUGAGUGAUGACCUCCAGGAGCUGAUCCUGCUCCUGAUUGGAGGAGAGCAGCGUACUCGGCAUGUGGGCAGCUGAGUUGGGAUUGGCGGAAGAGGACUAUAAAGGAGGAGAGAGACAACAUGCACCAGGGACAUCUAAGAGGAACAUCUAUCUGAAGGAACACCUGUGCAGCCCCCGAGAGAGCCGGCCUGCGGUGUGCCACUCUCCUGCGGAAGUGGGGAAAGUGGCUAGGGGGAACCGCCCUUCCACGGAGGUGGAAGGGUCGGUAGCCAACCCGGGAAGAACCAGCAGCAAACCUGGGAAGGGCCAAGCAGACAAAAGAACAGCGCAGGGUCCUGUGUCGUUCCUCCACGAAGACGGGGAACGACACCACUUAUGGCACAGCAUCCCCUAUCAGAGCAUGGGUUGUAAUCCCAGCUGCUCUGCUUCUGAUCUAGUGCCCUGCUAAUGCACCUGGGAAAGGUGGCCCAUGUGCUUGGGUCCCUAUCACCCAUGCAGGAAACCCAGAUGGAGUUCCAGGCUCCUGGCUUUCGCCUGAACCAGUCCCAGAUCAUUGCAGCCAGUUGGAGAGUGAACCAACAAAUGGGAGAUCUCUCUCUCUCUGUGUCACUUUGACUUUCGAAUAAAAUAAACAACUAUUUUUAAGAUCAUAAGAGUAUAAGCUUGGCCUAACAAUAAAUAAGCAAGUAAAAUAUAAUAACACAAUGUCCAUUUCUUCUGUCAACUAUAUCAUUUUAUCUUACAGGGUUUUUCUUUGGUAAGAAAAUAAAAUGAUGACUGUUCUUGUCUGCUGUCUCAGUUUUCAUAAUCUAGGAACAAUUGCUACAAAUAAAUAAGUCGAGCAAUGUAACUGAGAUAGAUGUUUCUAGAUACAAAUUCAAGUGUUCUUGACUUUUUUUUUUUUUUUUUUUUUUGACAGGCAGAGUGGACAGUGAGAGAGAGAGAGAGAGACAGAGAGAAAGGUCUUCCUCUCUUGCCGUUGGUUCACCCUCCAAUGGCCGCUGCGGCCGGUGCACCGCGCUGAUCUGAAGCCAGGAGCCAGGUGCUUCUUCCUGGUCUCUCAUGCGGGUGCAGGGCCCAAGCACUUGGGCCAUUCUCCACUGCACUCCCGGGCCAUAGCAGAGAGCUGGCCUGGAAGAGGGGGAACCGGGACAGAAUCUGGUGCCCCGACUGGGACUAGAACCCCGGGUGCCGGCGCCACAGGCAGAGGAUUAGCCCAUUGAGCCGUGGCGCCGGCCGACUUCUUAACUUCUAUAAAAUAAGCAACAUGUUUGGCUCUAUCAAAAAAUACAACAGUUUUCAGAAACUGUUGGUAUAUAACAAACAAUUCAAGACUGCUUUAAAGUUACUUAGAGUUUAAAAUUCUUUAUAUUCUUGGGACCGGGGCUGUGGCAUAUUGGGUAAAGCUGCCACCCUCAGUGCCGGAUCCCUUAUGGGUACCCGUUUGUGUCCCUGCUGCUCCACUUCUGAUCCUGGUCCCUGUUAAUGUGCUUAGGAAAGUAGUGGAAGAUGGCCCUGGUGCUCAGGCCCCUGCACCCACGUGGGAGACGAAGAAACAGUUCCUGACUCCUGACUUCGGAUUGACCCAGGUCUGACCAUUGCAGGGUCUCCCAAGUGCUGGGGCCCAAGCACCUGGGCCAUCAUGCAUUGCCUUCCCAGGCCGUUAGCAGAGAGCUGCAUUGGAAGAGGAACAGCCAGGACUCAUACCACUGCCCAUAUGGAAUGCCAGCACCACAGGCAGAGAGGCUUAACUUUUCUAGGCCACAGCACAAAGCCCAAGGACAAAUCUUGUGAAAAGAAAUUUGUAUGUGAUGAAGUUGGCUAUAAUUAUAAAAAAAUUAUAAUAAAUAUUAAGUAUUAACACACUGAUAUAAAACAAUUUAAUUCUCUAUGUUUAAAGCAAGAUUAUCUUAAAAUAUUGAUCUGCUCUUAAUAAAAUUUAGAAGAACUGGCCUAAGAAGCUAAGACUUUGUUAAGAUAAUUUCUUAUGUUUUCUACUGCCCUUAUUUGGUUUUGGUUAAUUAGGAAAAACUGAGUCUUAAAAGAGUUAAUUUUUUUACAUCUAUUUGCUUUUUAAGUCUUUUAAAUGAUCACUUUAUUAAUUCUGGUUAAAACACUAAUUAAAUGAAAGAUGAUUAUUUCACAAUGAUUUGUGAUCUUCUUUGACCAGAUGUUUUGAAUCUUUUGACAAUUUUUUUUAAGAUUUAUUUAUUUAUUUGAAAGUCUGAGUUACACAGAGAGAGGAGAGGCAGAGAGAAAGAGAGAAAGGUCUUCCAUCCAACGGUUCACUCCCCAGAUGGCUGCAACAGCCAGAGCUGUGCCAAUCCAAAGCCAGGAGCCAGGAGCCAGGAGCCAGGAGCCAGGAGCCAGGAGCCAGGAGCUUCUUCCAGGUCUCCCACAUGGGUGCAGGGGCCCAAGGACUUGAGCCAUCUUCCACUGCUUUCCCAGGCCAUAGCAGAGAGCUGGACAGGAAGUGGAGCAGCCGGAUCUCGAACAGGCACCCAUAUGGGAUGCCGACGCUUCAGGCCAGGGCGUUAACCCAUUGCGCCACAGUGCCAGCCUCAUUGAUGACUAUUGUUUAAAAGUUAUAUUUGUAUGGGUAUAUUAUUAACGUUCUGAACAUGUAAAAUUUAUAGAAGUGUUAUGUUCCUGUUACGGCAUUGUCAAUCAUGGUUGUUAUCUUAGAAUGCUAAAUGCAAUAAAAAUAACUCAAUGACCUUGUCAGUGGCUAAACACUAAUCAAAAUUGUAACCAUGGGAACAAACCUAGCAGUUAUCACUCCGCAUUCCACCUUGGAGAGCCUGGGCUGGAUUUCAGCUCCGCCUCCUGACUCCUGCUUCUUGCUGCUGCGGAUCCUGAGAUGCAGCAGUGGUAACUCGGGUAAUUUGGGUUCCUGCCCCCCAUAUGGGGCACCCCGAUUAAGUUCCUGGCACUAGGCUUUAGUCCAGGCCCAGCCCUGGCCAGUGUAAGUAUUCGGGGGGUGAACCAGUGAAUGGGAGCUCUGUCUCUAGCUCUGCCUCUCUUUGCCUCCCAAAUAAAUAAGGAAAAAAUGUUAAAGCAAUUUUAACCAUAGUUAUUCUGUGUCUUUUGCUAUCCACAGUUUUGAUUCUUCUCCAAAAGCAUUUACAAUCAAAUUCAUGAUAAAGAGCCUAAAAAGUAUUCUUAAGUGCAGUUUUCUGACAAAACUAAAUUCAUCUUACAAACAAAUUGGUUUUUCUGUAGUUAUCUUUGGUAAAAUUGGUAUAACUAUACGGAAAAAAAGUUUUCUUUCUUGGCUUGAAAAACUAUUAUGCAGACUGGAUUUGUUAUGCUCUUGUUGGGUUUAUUUUGUGUUUCCCUUUUUACGCUUUGUACUUUUUGCAUAUCAAAAUUUUGCGAAAGUACAACUCCUAACAGAUGAAGCUAAACUUAACAGUGGACUCCACGCGGUCUUAGCCUGAGAACUCCUCCUUCGAAACUUGCUUGUUGCUCAUUGUGGCUAAACUGCUUGCAUACUGACUCCUGACCAUCAUCACUUUACUCCCGUGUGGGACCAGACCACCCCGGGAAUGAGGGACAAUCAAACCCCGACCACAGCACUCCUCAGUGAUGUUCUCAGAGAAAAGAUCUUGCACAAAAAGGGAAAGUGUGAAAGGAGUGGAAAAGUUGUCAGAAUCAAAAUGGAGUCACUUGUGUCAACCCCCCCCCCCCAAAAAACUAAAAUGAAUAAAACCGGGAGCUUAUGAAGAAAGGGUUGUUACCCAUGGUUACCUGAUAGUAACUACGGCAAAACACGCCUCCAGAGCCGCAGCUUCACACAGAGGCUGCCGCAGCCUUGACAAGAAGUACACCUCCAAGACACCUGAUCAGCCUUGGUCACUUCCACCUUGGACUAAUGUCACCUUGCUUGUUAAUCAUUGUGGCUGAAGGUAAUUGUCUCAGAACAGCUGACAUGAUCCUCCUCCCUUUUGCCUUUAAACCUUUUCCUUGCCUCAACCUCCGUGACUGCCCGUGGCAUGCAUAUUCCCCCUGCAAGCUCUGGUAUUCACAGAGAGAGAUCACAAUUCAUUAGAAAGUCUCUCUCCCUGAUUGCUGACUGUUUUUUGACUUAGGUUGACACUAACAAAAGGCAGAGAGGAACUGAAAUUAGUGAAAUCAGCCAUUUUUCUUGUUCCCAGCCUACCCAUCAUGGAUCUAGAGUUUCAGUAGCAGGUGGCACAGGGAACCAAGAGUGGACUCUGAGACUAGCAAGAGACUGAUCCAGACCCCAAUCUAUAGUUGCUGCACAGCCUGCACGUUACAGACUCAACUGUGCUUCCCCAAAAUUCCUGUGUUGAAGUCCCCAACCUCAGAAUGAGGCUGCCUUUGGAGAUAGGACUUUUAGAGAAGUAACUAAGAUAACACCAAGUUGUAGCAGUGGGCCCCAAACCGGCCUGGGCCAUGUCCUUACAGGAGGAGAUUGGGACAGACACACAACAGAGGGAAGACCGUAUGGAGACACAAGGACAAGAUGGCCACCUGCAAGCCAAGGAGAGAGGUCUCAAAGAAACCAACGCUGCUGGCACCUCCAGCACUGUGAGGAAGUAAAUUUUUCCUUGAUUCAGCCGUCCAGUCUAUGGUAUUUCAUUAUGGCAUCCCUAGCUAACAAACACAUGGGGUCAGUGCUUUAACUCCCCUGGGUCACCACAAAGAGGGUUUAGUGCUUAAUUUAUUGGGUUGCUUUGAGGAUUAAAUGAAACUGAAAGCAUCUGGCACGUCGAGGUGCUCAAUAAAUAUUUCUUCCCUCUCUGAAUCAGUGCCUAUUUUUAAGGCUGAAGAAGGAUUUAUGUAUAAUUACUGAAACUGUGCUUCAACUGUCUGAUUAGCUGUUCCAUAUAUAGCAGAUUCCCAAGUCUCCCAGAGCCUGGAGCGAGUCCAGGAGCUCAGCACAGCCUGCCCACCGUGGGAACCAGGCAGGUGCACGAGGGUUCUUGUGAGCAGCUGCAAAGGCCUGGAAGAGCAGAAUACGUGCUACACAGCCAGUAGUCAAUCCGAUAAGAAGCUGUUCCUUGCUAACGGGAAAUGGAGAGAGAGAGGUCUACCAGGGGACUGUCCCCCAGCCCCUCCCACCCAGCUACCCAAGCACUGUACACUUUGAUCAUUCCCGGAUGAAAUGUUUAUAUAAUGAUCUGAUUCACAUCUGUAACACCUGAGAGGCUCCUCUUGAUUCUGCAGCUCUUGUGAGAAGACGCGGCGAGGAAGAGGCAGAACCCUCACCACGCUGGCGGAGAAAGGGAGAAAAGCCAGGAGAGCUUCCUUGCAAGUUAAGUGAAAAGUUGCGUGGAGAGAAGGAAACGCCUACGGGUCAGCAACUCGGAUCUGCAUAGAAAGAGGGAGAGGGAGUGGGGAAAGUAAAAUAAAAACUUUCAUUUCUCUUAUUAGUUGAUUGAACAGCUGAUUGUUCAAAACAGUAACGGACACAACACAUUUGAUUCUGUUUGCUUGGGAAGUGCAUAUCACGCAUGCUUACAUGGGCAGUACCUGUGCUUCUCUGUGCGUAGAAAUACGUUUAUGUUAAGUUAAACGAAUGACAGCUGUGAUGCAAAGGACAAGAGGCAGGAAUGAGGGCAGUUUUGUUAUUUGAAGGUACUCAUACUAUUUGUGAUGCAGUGUGGUGCAUUUGAAAACAUCUCUAUAGGAGUUGUAAAUGUAUAUUACAACCUCUACGAUACCCACUGAAAGAAGUCGAAGAAAAAAGGGGGAAGCAGGUGUUGGCCUAGUGCGCAAGCCCCUGGCUGGAACACCUACUUCCCUAUCAGUGGGGAACCUGUUCCAGGCCCAGCUCCACUCCAGAUCCCAGCGUCCUGCUACCAUGCAUCCUGGGAGGCAGGCGGUGGCUCUGUAGUUGGGUCCCUGCAGCAAGGCAGGAUUCCUGGAUCGAGUUCCCAGCUCUCAGCUCCAGCUGUUGCAGAUAUCUGGGGUGAACCAGUGCGUGGAAGCUGUCCAUCUGGCAUUCUGUCUCUCUCAAGUAAGUAAAUACAAUUUUUAAAGUCAAAAUAGAAGUAUAAAUGAUAUGCUAAUAUAGAAAAUGGAAUAAUAAAAAAUGCUUAAUUAGCUGGCACUGUGGCUCACUAGGCUAAUCCUCUGCCUUGCGGUGCCAGCACACCGGGUUCUAGUCCCGGUUGGGGCGCUGGAUUCUGUCCCGGUUGCCCCUCUUCCAGGCCAGCUCUCUGCUGUGGCCAGGGAGUGCAGUAGAGGAUGGCCUAAGUGCUUGGGCCCUGCACCCCAUGGGAGACAAGGAGAAGCACCUGGCUCCUGCCAUCAGAUCAGCACAGUGUGCCGGCCGCAUUGCGCCGGCCGCGGCAGCCAUUGGAGGGUGAACCAACGGCAAAGGAAGACCUUUCUCUCUG